GACGAACGCUGGCGGCGUGCCUAAUACAUGCAAGUCGAGCGCAGGAAGCCGUCUGAACCCUUCGGGGGGACGACGGUGGAAUGAGCGGCGGACGGGUGAGUAACACGUAAAGAACCUGCCCAUAGGACUGGGAUAACCACGAGAAAUCGGGGCUAAUACCGGAUGUGUCAUCGGACCGCAUGGUCCGCUGAUGAAAGGCGCUCCGGCGUCGCCCAUGGAUGGCUUUGCGGUGCAUUAGCUAGUUGGUGGGGUAACGGCCCACCAAGGCGACGAUGCAUAGCCGACCUGGGAGGGUGAGCGGCCACACUGGGACUGAGACACGGCCCAGACUCCUACGGGAGGCAGCAGUAGGGAAUCUUCCACAAUGGACGAAAGUCUGAUGGAGCAACGCCGCGUGAACGAUGAAGGCUUUCGGGUCGUAAAGUUCUGUUGUAAGGGAAGAACAAGUGCCGCAGGCAAUGGCGGCACCUUGACGGUACCUUGCGAGAAAGCCACGGCUAACUACGUGCCAGCCGCCGCAGUAAGAC
rnacentral:rRNA from 1 species